ACGAACGCUGGCGGCAGGCCUAACACAUGCAAGUCGAGCGAGAUGCUUUUUUCGGAAAGCAGAAAGCGGCGAACGGGUGAGUAACGCGUGGGAACAUACCCUGUGGUGGGGGACAACCGUUGGAAACGGCGGCUAAUACCGCAUAAGCCCUUCGGGGGAAAGCUUUAUGCGCCAUGGGAGUGGCCCGCGUUGGAUUAGGUAGUUGGUGGGGUAAAGGCCUACCAAGCCUACGAUCCAUAGCUGAUCUGAGAGGAUGAUCAGCCACACUGGAACUGAGAUACGGUCCAGACUCCUACGGGAGGCAGCAGUGGGGAAUAUUGCGCAAUGGGGGAAACCCUGACGCAGCCAUGCCGCGUGAGUGAAGAAGGCCUUCGGGUUGUAAAACUCUUUCGCCUGUGAAGAUGAUGACUGUAGCAGGAGAAGAAGCCCCGGCUAACUUCGU
rnacentral:rRNA from 1 species